rnacentral:rRNA from 1 species
GAACCUGGUGCUAAACCAUUUCCAGACGACCUGCUUCUGAGUAGGAGUUUUGAACAUAGUAGCAGAGCAACUCCCUCGCUGAGAUCUAUUGAAAGUCAAUCCUCGAAACAAGGGUUUGU